AAGGGAUAAGUGCUGAAAGCAUCUAAGCAUGAAGCCCCCCUCAAGAUGAGAUUUCCCAUAGCGUAAGCUAGUAAGAUCCCUGAAAGAUGAUCAGGUUGAUAGGUUCGAGGUGGAAGCAUGGUGACAUGUGGAGCUGACGAAUACUAAUAGAUCGAGGACUUAACCAUAUAA
rnacentral:rRNA from 3 species